rnacentral:lncRNA from 10 species
UCCAAUCUUCCAAUGUGUCCAAAAUGAGAGGAGGACUAAAAGUAUUGGCUUCAUCAAUGUAUAUUUUCCCAGAAUUUGAGUAAUAGAAGAAAAGAAAUCUGGACCUGAAACAUAAAAUGAGAUCAUGAGCAUGCAAUCAUUAAAUUGUCACAGUUAUAUCAUAAUUCAAUCUGCAGACACGCUAUUCAAUAAUGUCAUAUAUAAUCAGGUUAAUGCAUUAUAAUUUUCAUGAGUUACCUUUGAUCAUUUAAAAGAAUUAACAUGUGUUUCAGUAGAUCACUAUUACAGUUGUCUGUUGCUUUUAGAGGUUUAAAAAUGCUUAGCAAGGAAUUCACAAGAUAAAAUUAACAUUUUAAAUAUCUGACAACAAUGGAAAUAGAAGAUGUUUAAGCAGUGACUAUGGUACUUAAGAAAAGCAUUUGUUUUGAUGCUAUAGUGAAUUCUACAUAAUAUACUUGUUUUCAUUAUACGAAACACGAUCCAACAACUAAAAUACAAUUGAGCAUGAAUUCCAUACUUCUUACUUCAUUUUCUUCUUAAUUGCAAAAUAAGCUUUUAUUGUGGUUUUGCAAGACUUCUCUUGUGAUUUUGCAAAUGUUAGAAAUAAAUUUCUUUCUCAUCAGAAUCACCCCAAAAUAAUGCAAAACUUAAAGAGUAGCUGAAAGAGACAAGUAAAACAU